GGGUUAAGUCCCGCAACGAGCGCAACCCCUACGUUAGUUGCUAACGCGUGAAGGCGAGCACUCUAGACGAACUGCCGUUGACAAAACGGAGGAAGGUGGGGAUGACGUCAAAUCAUCAUGCCCCUUAUGUUCUGGGCUACACACGUGCUACAAUGGCCGGUACAGACGGACGCAAAGCCGCGAGGUGGAGCAAAUCCUAAAAAGCCGGUCUCAGUUCGGAUUGCAGGCUGCAAUUCGCCUGCAUGAAGUCGGAAUCGCUAGUAGUCGCAGGUCAGCAUACUCGCGGUCCGAAUACGUUCCGGGCCUU
rnacentral:rRNA from 1 species